rfam:Medicago truncatula strain A17 chromosome 7, whole genome shotgun sequence.
CCCAUAAAUAAUAAAAUGUCUGUUUAGGUCCUUUAACUUUAUUUAAAGUAUUGGUUUGAUCCUUUCUGUUAAUUUAAUUCAAAAAAACGUUAAGUUUAGGGACCAAACUAAUACUAAUUAAAUAAGUUAAAAGACCAAAAUUUAACGUUGUUUUGAAUUAAAUUAACAGAAGAGACCAAACUGUUACUUUAAAUAAAGUUAAGGGAUCUAAACGGAAUUUUUAUUAUUUAAGGGA